rnacentral:rRNA from 1 species
GACGAACGCUGGCGGCGUGCUUAACACAUGCAAGUCGAACGGUGAAGCUCCAGCUUGCUGGAGUGGAUCAGUGGCGAACGGGUGAGUAACACGUGAGCAACCUGCCCCUGACUCUGGAAUAAGCACUGGAAACGGCGUCUAAUACUGGAUACGAGAAGGGUCCGCAUGGGCACUUUCUGGAAAGUUUUUCGGUUGGGGAUGGGCUCGCGGCCUAUCAGCUUGUUGGUGAGGUAAUGGCUCACCAAGGCGACGACGGGUAGCCGGCCUGAGAGGGCGACCGGCCACACUGGGACUGAGACACGGCCCAGACUCCUACGGGAGGCAGCAGUGGGGAAUAUUGCACAAUGGGCGAAAGCCUGAUGCAGCGACGCCGCGUGAGGGAUGACGGCCUUCGGGUUGUAAACCUCUUUCAGCAGGGAAGAAGCGAAAGUGACGGUACCUGCAGAAGAAGCACCGGCUAACUACGUG